AGAGUUUGAUCCUGGCUCAGGAUGAACGCUGGCGGCGUGCUUAACACAUGCAAGUCGAACGGUGAAGCAGAGCUUGCUCUGUGGAUCAGUGGCGAACGGGUGAGUAACACGUGAGCAACCUGCCCCGGACUCUGGGAUAAGCGCUGGAAACGGCGUCUAAUACUGGAUACGAGCAGCGGAGGCAUCUCCAGCUGCUGGAAAGAUUUUUUGGUCUGGGAUGGGCUCGCGGCCUAUCAGCUUGUUGGUGAGGUAAUGGCUCACCAAGGCGUCGACGGGUAGCCGGCCUGAGAGGGUGACCGGCCACACUGGGACUGAGACACGGCCCAGACUCCUACGGGAGGCAGCAGUGGGGAAUAUUGCACAAUGGGCGGAAGCCUGAUGCAGCAACGCCGCGUGAGGGACGACGGCCUUCGGGUUGUAAACCUCUUUUAGCAAGGAAGAAGCGAAAGUGACGGUACUUGCAGAAAAAGCGCCGGCUAACUACGUGCCAGCAGCCGCGGUAAUAC
rnacentral:rRNA from 1 species